GAUGAACGCUGGCGGCGUGCCUAAUACAUGCAAGUCGAGCGAACGGACGAGAAGCUUGCUUCUCUGAUGUUAGCGGCGGACGGGUGAGUAACACGUGGAUAACCUACCUAUAAGACUGGGAUAAUUUCGGGAAACCGGAGCUAAUACCGGAUAAUAUUUUGAACCGCAUGGUUCAAAAGUGAAAGACGGUCUUGCUGUCACUUAUAGAUGGAUCCGCGCUGCAUUAGCUAGUUGGUAAGGUAACGGCUUACCAAGGCAACGAUGCAUAGCCGACCUGAGAGGGUGAUCGGCCACACUGGAACUGAGACACGGUCCAGACUCCUACGGGAGGCAGCAGUAGGGAAUCUUCCGCAAUGGGCGAAAGCCUGACGGAGCAACGCCGCGUGAGUGAUGAAGGUCUUCGGAUCGUAAAACUCUGUUAUUAGGGAAGAACAAAUGUGUAAGUAACUGUGCACAUCUUGACGGUACCUAAUCAGAAAGCCACGGCUAACUACGUG
rnacentral:rRNA from 1 species